AGUGUGCGUGUUUUUGUUUUGCUUUAGAAGCACCAGAAAUAAGGCUUGAUCCACAAAAAGAAGUAACAUUAGGAAGCAGUGUUACGAUCGACUGCGUCGCUGAGGGAGAUCCAACACCAGUAGUCAAACUGUACAGAAAUGGAGUAUUCAUAGAAGGGCAAGAAGCAGCGACUUUCUCGCCAAUAACACCCAAUCUUGGAGCCGCUAGAUACACUUUUACCGCUGUCCAAGGGUCAGGCGGACCUUACGAGUGUCGCGCAAACAAUGGAGUAGCGGACUCAAACGGAAACACUGAUAUAUCAAAAGUUAUAAAUAUCAUUAUAAUAGGUCCAACAAACCCAGUAACAAGAACGAAAACUGUCAAACCAGUGGACAACAAUAAUACGGGUUCUGGUUCAAACAGCCUGAGUGCUCUAUCCUUGUUUAUUAUUCUUUUACCUGUAGCCAUUGUAGCGUUCUUUUGCCAAUGAUGACAAUGUUACGAUUGAUCUAUCAUAAGACAAGUCUGUGACUGUGCCUGAAUUUGGCAUUGAAGAAACAAACACAGAUAUCAAAUGCGGUUAAAAAGGCAGAGAUCAAAUCUGAUGCUUACACGCUUGCAUGCUGGGGUUAAGGAUCAAGAUUAAAUGAAAAUAUUGGGGAUAUAUGGUAUAUAAAAGGAAUAUAUUUAUAUAUUUACCUAGUUAAACAUUAAUUAUUCAGAUAAACUUGUAAAUAGAUCAUCUGCCGUCUUGUCCACUAGCACUUGUAAAUUUACUAUUUAAUGUGGCUGUAGACUCGAAAGUUUUUACUAUUUCGACAGCCACGCACACCCAAACAUGAUUGUUAUUAU